GUCCCCUUCGUCUAGAGGCCCAGGACACCGCCCUUUCACGGCGGUAACAGGGGUUCGAAUCCCCUAGGGGACGCCAGCGUUCAAACUGAUGAGGUCAAACCUCCAGGGGACGCCA
rnacentral:tRNA from 1 species